ensembl:lncRNA
AGUUUGUAGGGCUACACAAUUUGGCAUAUUAAAUAAAUAAAUAAUUUCAAAUAUAAUCAUUUUCAAAAACCAUCAAGCUUUUAUUUUGUCAGAAAACCACAGAGAUACUUUAAAGCUUUAAAGCUUCUCUUUGGUUUAUUAACAACCAGCUUUUCAGUACAAGUUUGGGAAGAUGGUUGGCGCAUAUUGCAUUCCCAAAUACACAUUAUAAGUGACCCGAAUUCACAGCUCUUGCAAAGAUGAAGUACAUGUGGAGUGUGUGAACUGAGCCACUCUGAGAGACUAAAAACACGUGAGCUGUGAAAGAACACAGUGCCACGUUUCACUCUGAAACACAUUUAUUUAUUUAAUUAAAAUUAUUUAUUUUCAUAAUUACGCUAAGCCAUUUAGUGGUUUUGGUUUUAUUACGAUCAGUCGUGCAGCCAUAUAGUUUAAGUUUGUUUGCAUUUCUUUCUCCUGCAGAACAAUAAGAGAAGAUAUUUUGAAGAAAGUUAAGAAACAGCACAGGAGUCCAUGCACUGACUCACAUGAAACAUUUUUCAAACUAUCUUCUUUUAAGCUUCACAGAAGAAAGAAUCUCAUACAGUUCUAAAACGACAUGAGGGUGACAGAACACAGUUGUCAUAUUUGGGUGGAGUAUGGCUUUAAAAUGCAGUCAAAAUCAUAUUAUCCUUUGAACUUUUUAACACUUGUUCAACACAUGAGAAAUGUUACAGCAAAAGCAUUAACUAUGCAAUUUAUUAAACCAAAGGUUCUCACUGAUACAGCUACACCUAAACCAGCAACAACUAAUACUGAGAGGGAAAAUACAAGCACGCAACCAACACAAAUACUCACUACAGGGCCAGAACAAGGGUGUCAUUUCCAUGAACACAGCACCAUCAUGCUGUUCAUACUCCUUGCUGUUUUGGGGCUUUCUUCCUUCACUUCAAGCAAAAUAUCUUAUGAGUAUCACUUCAUAAAUAUCAGAAAGAACUGGACUGGGGCUCAGAGAUUCUGCCGUGAGAGGUACGUUAUUGGCAUGUACACACCUGAUGACUGUGGAAAAUGCAAAAGAGAUUAA